AUUGAACGCUGGCGGCAGGCCUAACACAUGCAAGUCGAGCGAGCGGCGGACGGGUGAGUAAUGUCUGGGAAACUGCCUGAUGGAGGGGGAUAACUACUGGAAACGGUAUCUAAUACCGCAUACCAUCAGAUGUGCCCAGAUGGGAUUAGCUAGUCGGUGGGGUAAUGGCUCACCUAGGCGACGAUCCCUAGCUGGUCUGAGAGGAUGACCAGCCACACUGGAACGAGGACACGGUCCAAGCUCCUAAGGGAGGAGGCAGUGGAGAAUAUUGCCCAAGGAGCGCAAGCCUGAUGCAGCCAUGCGGCGUGUAUGAAGAAGGCCGUCGGGUUGUAAAGUACUUUCAGCGGGGAGGCGUUACCCGCAGAAGAAGCACCGGCUAACUCCGUGCCAGCAGCCGCGGUAAUAC
rnacentral:rRNA from 1 species